GGCUUGCAGGGCGGAUGCCCUCGUAUUGCUCAACAUGGAUCCUGCCACCCAUUGCAUGUUAUUUACGGCAUCAGACAGUUUGAAUGUUUUAUAUACCUCCUUAGCUGGGGGGCUCAAGUGUUUAAGCUACUGAGAAAUCGUUCAUGCAGCUUCAACGCCAGGGGUACCUUUCCGAGACCCAACAACUACUGAGUACCAUUACAACUGUUCCAUUGAUGAAAGGGGCGGACUUACUGCUAACUUAGGACACACACCCUGUCCAUGUCUUCCCCUUUUUCUCUUUCUUCGAGUGACUAACAGGUUUGUGUGCCAGAUUCCCACAAUAUGAUGCCAUAUAUCCUAUUGGAUAACCACUGCACGCCUGAAGGCAACGGCGAACCCCCGAAAGAGUGCACGGUGCAUGUUUAUCCCGCCACACAUUGAGAACUCUUCCUAUUAAUAGCUUCCGGUUCGCACAGAACUUUUCACUUCCUUUAUGCCUACGCCUAGGGGAGAGUGUCAAGCCGCAUGGAUGGUUCGUAUUCAUAACCCAGCCCACGGAGCAUAGUUACAAAAUUGGCAAUUGAAGAGGAAAAUUUUGAACAGAUAAUGGACUAACCUUCGUUCUCGAUUUCAUCAUCGUAUCAACCUUGCAAAAAAAAUUUCUUCCCGCCUAACUUGCAUGGACCAACAGCUCCCCCACGCCGCCACACGCCGCCACACGCUGCCACCAAGAUGUCAAGGACAUCCUCACAGUUACUAGCAUGAUCGACGGCUUAGUGCGGGGUUGCAGAGAUAAUUUUAUUUAGUUAUUUAUUUAUUUUAGGUUGUAAAUUUAUUUCGUUGUGUGCUUUAUCAACACACCGAAAAUCCUUUGGGGCUUUUUAUUAGAAGAUUCUUUUUCCGUUCUCAGUUAACGCUGUUUCUCUUGCUUUGCUGUGUAUUUAAUUGGUUCCUGCCAGGUGGUUAAUUUUAGACAACUUGGUCACUGACAUCAGGGUGACAAGG
rnacentral:sRNA from 1 species